UCUAUCCCCAAAAAGUCCAUUUGACUCUCGAACUAUUUAUUCUAGCCUUUAGUUCUAUUUCUCCUUUUUCGGUAGCGGUUCAAAAUUCCUUAUCUUUCCCAUUCACCCUACUCUUUUAGAAACAGAUCUGCGCGGAAAUCUUUUUCUCUUAUGACAAGUUUUUGAUCUAUAUCAUAGAUGUACAAAUUAACAUCUUUGAGCAAGGAAACCCCAUUUGAAUGAUUCAUGGGUCUUAGUCAUCCUUAAACUUACCAAGUUGUCCUUUUGACGAUCCAAGAAAUUCCAGGAUCUGGAUGAGGCUUUGUAAUAGCCUUUCAAUUGACAUAGACCCAAGGUAUCUAGUAAAAUGUAAAAUUGAGGAUGCAGCAUCGGAAAUAGUCGGGAUAGCUCAGCUGGUAGAGCAGAGGACUGAAAAUCCUCGUGUC
rnacentral:misc_RNA from 1 species